AAGGGUGCUUAACCACUGAGCAACAUCCCCAGUUCUUUUGUAUAUUUUAUUUAGAGACAGGGGUCACUAAGUGGCUUAGGUCCUCACUAAGUUGCUGAGGCUGGCUUGGAACUCGCAAUCCUCCUGCCUCAGCCUCUGAAGCUGCUGGGAUCACCAGCGUGUGCCACCACACCUGGCUUUCAUGAAUUUUCUUAAUCCACUUGUCCAUUUUGUAAAAGUUAGUUUAAAUUCAUUCAUAAUGUAACAUUUGGGCAUAAUUCUUGUACUUGGGAUACAUUGAAGAUAGAAUCAGAGAAUUCAAUCACUCUAUCCCUCAGACACGGUCCUGUGUGAGUUUCAAGACACUGAGAGUAAGUGUUGGGACACAGAGCCUGAGGGUGGUGACCCCAGAUCUUCCUCAGGAGCCCUUAGGACCAUGGGGCCAGCUGAGGGACAGUUUGCCUGUGGACAAUUUUUACAGUGCACAUAGUAAACAGUGACAAAACACAAUUUGUUUUGUUUCUUUGGAUUAAAAAAUGUGAACAGAACAGAUUUUCAUGUUAAUCUCAAUUUCCCAUUUAUAUCAUAGCCUUCUUAAGCAGAAGGAAUUGCCUUAGCCAUUGCUUACCUCCUGGUGAUCCCAAUACAGUUUCAUUGUUGUGCAUGGUAGAAAUUAAACAUUUCAUUCCAAAACCUGCAGGCACGUGUGUUUUAACACAAUCAACAGGAGUGUGAUAUGUGUGUUUUAAAAAGCUUCGCCCAGCAUCACCUGUGAGUGCAGAUCAGGAUGUGCGGGAUGCAGACACUUAUUUGUCCUCUAACAUGUCACCAUGUACUAGAAGUCAUGGCUUCUGUGCUGUCAGGAUCUCCAUCUCUGAUUCCUCCUCUCACUGGAUGGGCAACAGAGGAAGGCCCAGGUCUGGCAGGUUCCAGUGCUCUGCAGCCAUGGAGCAUAAGGGCGCCCAUAUGUCCCAGGAUCUGGGCUGGACUCCUCGUGUCUGGGGGAAGGAAAGCCCAGCAGGCCAGCUUCUUUCCCACCCUGGAGCUGGCGAGAGGCUUUGUGGCAGUGUUUGUACAACAUCUGGUUGUGUGACAGGUGUGGAAACCAGGUGUGAUUUACUAGCUUCUGAGCCUCCUCACACCAGGAGAGCCCUUCUUGUCAGAUGGGAAGAGACAGAUAGGAGAUGCAGCCCGGGGCUUUCCCUCCCAGACCCUGCUCUGCACAUCUGUGCUGGAGUUGGCCUCACCCAACAAGUGAUGCUUCUGUGCUUCUGUUGUAUGGUGGCUAUCAGGAAUGUUCUAUAUAAAUGUGUGAGCCAGAUUCAAAUCAGCGGUCUAGCAACUGGAUUUUAUGGGAUGAAAUACAUAAAAACUACAUAUAAACAAGAGUCCUCUAUUGAGCUUAUUACAUCAAAAUUACUUUGCUUGAAACUUAAGCAUCUAAGCAAACCCCAUUGAUUUCAACUGUGUAGGAACACACAGCACUCUGAAAAUGCUUGGCACAUCAGUGACAAUUAGCUUAGACUUUGAUUCUUUGACAGUUAUGUAACUUAAUAGCAUAAUUACUUCUUACUUUCCAGCUGGUGAAAAUGGGUGAAUGGGGCAGUGUCAGUGUUGGAGAAGAAAAUUCUUAGUCUUUUUAGCCAAGUUUUGCAGGCUCUCUGCUCUCUCUAUGCAGUGUGUUUACUUGAUUUUUGGUUGUGUACAUCAGACUGGGCUACAGUCAUGAAUAUAGAAAUGAUGUAGACUGAAGAAGGUAAUGUGGAGGGCUGCAGGUGGAUCUGUACACAGAGACUGCUCAUAGACUCAUCAGAUUCAGAGCUGGACCCACCUGAGGGAUCCCCAGACCUAGUGCUCUCAAAUGGGACCCCCAAGGGGCAAAAUCCAAGACUUUGCUGAAGAUCCAGAAGGAUUCAGACACCAAAAGCAAAACAUGUGCCAGGUAAGUGUCUUAUCAGCUUUCUUCAUGGCUGCAACUAAAAGACCCAACCAGCACAAUUGUGGAAGAGGAAGAGUUUCUUUGGGGGUUCACAGUUUCAGAGGUCUCAGUCCAUAGACAGCAGAUUCUAUUCCUCGGGACUCAAGAUGAGGCAGGACAUCAUGGCAACAGAAUGGGACAGAGUAAAGCAGCUCAGAUAAUGAUCAGUAAGCAGAGACACUCCAUUCAACAGAUAAAAAGUAAACCAUACCUCUAGGGACCUGCCUUCUCCAGCCACACCUGCCUUCAGCUACCACUAUGUCAAUCCCUAUCAGGAGAUUAAUCCACUGAUUGGAUUAAGGUUCUUAUAAUCCAAUCAUUUCUCCCCUAAACCUUGCAUUGUCUCACACAUAUGCUUUUGGGGGACACCACAUCUAAACCAUAACAGUAAGGACCCACAGAGUUCUUUCAUGCUAAAAGCAAACCCCCACCCACUUCUGAGUAGGUAUCCUAAUGCAAGGUCUCCUACAUUCACAGAUGCACUAUGUGCAUAGCCAAGAGCAGGGAGCAGCCCGAUGUCCAUUGACAGAUGGGGUAAACAAAGGAAAUCCUGCCACAGGCUGCGGCAUGGGUGAGCCACGAAGAUGUGGAGGUAAUUGAGAGAAGCCAGUCACUAAGGGACAAAUACUGUAUAAUUCCCCUUAUGAGACAUAUACAGUGGCCACAUCAUAGAUUAAGAAGUAGGGCAGUGGCUACCGAGGGCUGGGCAAGGGUGGGGAGUUAGCAUUUCAUAUAUCCAGAGUUCCAGAUUCACAAGACAUAGAAGUUUUGGUGCUCAGUUUCAUAACCAUGUCAAUAGACCUGGUACUAUGGAAGUGUACACUUUAAAAGUGUUUAAGAUGAUAAGUUUUAUUAUAUAUUUUUAUUACUUUAAAAUAAUUUUAAAUUAUUUAAAAAUAAUUUUAAAAGACAACAAAGAAGCACUGGGCUGCUAUUGUAAAUGGCUCCUAAAAGAGCUAAAGAGCAUUCAUGUAUGACCAACAAUUCUACCUCUAGGUUUUACCCAAGAGAAAUGAAAAUAAGUGUUCAAAACAAAUGUGUUCUUGAAUGUUUAUCAUCUUACUAUUGACAAUAGCAAGAAAAUGGAAACAAGCCACACAUCCAUCAACUGAUGAAUGGGUAAACAAACGGUCUAUCCAUGCAGUGGAAUAUUAUUCAGCCAUAAAAAGGAACAAAGUGCUGAUUGCUGUCACAGCCUCAGAUGGACCUUGAAAAACAUUAGGCUAAGUAAGAGAAGGUAGACCCAACUGCUCACAGGUUAAUUGAUUCGACUUAUGUUAAAUGUCCAGAAGAAGCAAAUCUAUAAAAACAGAAAGCAGAUCAGUAGUUGCCAGUUGCUGGUUAUUGCCUGUGUAUGGCUCCUUCUGAGAGCAGAGAAAGUGUCCAGGAUCAGAUAGUGAUGACCAGUCACUAUCUAAUAGUGAAUGCAAAAUUUAAGAUGGUUAAAAUGGUGAAUUCCAUGUCCUAUGAAUGUUUCUUCCCCAAACAAAAGGCUUUAUGUAUAAAGAGUCUUUGGUCUAGCCCAAGUUUUUUAGCUGGGAAAGUGGAAGCUCACUUCUGGGGGACAUGGCUUUCUGGGGGCCAUGGCCACAGUCCCCAAGACACCAGGGCACUCCUGGGGGAGGUGGGAAGCAAGGCAUCCUCGUGCAGCAAGAGCGGAUGCUCAGGUAGUGUGGGCAUGCCAGGUUCUGUGAAGAAGGCCCAGCAUGGCAUUGGCUGCAGCAGAGGUGGGGUCCCUGGGGCUCCUCCCAGAGUUCCUUCCCAGCUACAGGGGGCCCACCACAGCCAGUCCAGGCUCACACCCAGACAAGUGGGAUCCAAAAGACAAAACAGGCAUCUCUUGCAUCUCUAUUUGGGAGCAAGACAAGUUUUGUUGGAAGCUCCCUGGCAAAGCCAUCGGCCAUGAUUGGGUCACGUGACUCCCUAAGUCCAACGAGGCUGACAGGCUUAGGCCCACGGUGUGCAGUGGAGAGCAUGGGGGAUAGUUAGACUUAAAGACCAGUUCCACAGGCCAGGCAUCAGGCAGAGGCCAGGCCAGGAACGUCAUGUGGACCUAUGGGAUGAGCAGGAGCUCCAGAUAAGCAGACAAUGAAUGAAGUCCAGGGAAGGCAGCUGAGCCAUGCAUCAUAGCCUAGAAAAAGAAUGUGGUAACAGGGUUCCAGACCAGGGCUCAGGAUCCUACCCUGUGUGGCUGGCAGCAGGAGGUCAGCAUCCCAGCCCGGGCUCUGAGAAAAACUGGCUUCCAGCAAAAACUGGAGAAAGAUUCCCUUCCCAGUGUCCCCAGUAGAGCCCUGAAGAAAGUCAAACCUGUCCCCAGAAUGCACACACUUGAACUCAGAGGUCGACACAGCAGUGCCCAGGCACACAGAGUGGAAAACCGGGGCUUCUGAGGAAAGCCAAAUCAUUUUAAAGUUCAGUCCCUGCAUGCACCAUUGGCACAGAAUAGAGAUGCCUGGAUGCGUUCCUAUAAUCCUCUGUCCCCCACUGUCCAGUAGACAGGCAUGGGACAGAGAGGUCAGGUCACUAAUUUCUCAGCAGCAUCUGUUACCUAUUUCCAAGGGUGCACACAUCCACGUGGCCCACUCCGCGGUCCUUGACCAUUCACUUGUCCCCUGGCCCCUGUACACACCUGCUAUCCACUAGGCACUCGUCUACACAGUGGGGACAUGUUUGUGGACAAAAUAAAAUCCAUCCCUCUUUUCCCAGACCUUAAAGUCCAGUGGGGGUGAUAUGCAUACAGAUGAUCAAAUUUGUGCCAUGGCAAGUGAAGUUAUCGGUGCUGCAAAGAAACCAGAGCAGGCAGAGGGCACUGGGUGCUUCAACUCCUAAGAGAACUGCACGGGAAGACGGCCUGAUGGAGUGCUCUUAACCACCAUGAUGACAGCCAAGGCCUGUGCAGAACGCAUGUGGGAAGAGAGAAAUGAAGACCGAUGCUGAGCACAUGUCCCAGAUGUGGUGGGGCAGGAAGUGUCUGUGGGCCCAGGAUCCAGCGGGAGUUCUCCGAGCCAUGCUCUUGCUGCAUGCCAGGAUGACAGCGUGCUUCCACCCUGCUGUUGACUUGGACACCACAAAGAUGAGUUUUGUGCUAACAGAAAGCCAGAAUGCAAUCUUAUGGGUAUGGCUUUAAGACUGAUGGUAGGUCGGAGACUAAGGAUUUUGCCAAUAACACACAGUCACAUCAGAGUUGUUUGGUGCUCUGGUCCGAGUAUAGUUGGCUGCUGCCUCCCUGGUAUUCUACAAAACAGAUCCCCAAGUGGAAAACCACAGAGCACCAGAGAAAGAGCACCAUCUUCAGUGUGCCAAGAAUUUGUAAAAAAACCUGGACUCCCACCACUAAAUAGAUAACUUGGAAUUUAUUCAUGCUGAGAAUAAGAAGAUUGUAAGUGACAUCUGCUAGGUGUUCCUUUGUAGCAGUUCCUCCCAGAGCGAUGAUGAAGGCAUUCAGGCAACUUCAGGUAGCCUGACUAACUGAGAAAAGUAAUGGCCGCUCACUCAUUGAGGGUCAGGACAGCAAGAAAGGAGAGGAAGGGGAGAGAAGGGAGAGGAAGAAAUGCCAAAACGAUGCAGCAGAAAUCACACAUUCUGAGGCUGGGGCCUAUUUUGAAAGAUGAUGGUCCAGGAUAAAGUUUAUUUCACUUACAAGCACUAACUCAUUCUUUUCAUCUAGCAUUCCCACCUAUGGAUUAGCAACAGCAUGACCUCUGUAGGGAAGAUUAACUUGCAGCUACACAGGGAUUCAGCAGAAAGCAGACAUGAGGGGAUUGUUUUGACAGUUUUGAAAUCUAUAUUCUUUGUGGGAAAAACACUGUUGAAAUCCUGCUGUAUUAAGCCUUUUUGCAUUACUUUCUCUAAUUACCUAGGGUUGGAUAAAUUUAUCAAGAAAAAAGGCUUAUUUUGUCUCGUGGUUCCAAAGAUCCAAGGCCAAAGGGCCAUAUCCAGUGAUAUCCUUCUUGCAAGCAGAAUUCCAAGGCUGUUCAUGGUAUCAUAUGGCAAGAACAAGGAGUGUACACAUGUGUGUGCCUCUUCUGGUCUCUGCCCCUCUCUUUAUAAAGCCACCAGGAUUCAGUCAUGGGGCCCCCACCCCACUGACCUUAUCUAUCCCUAAUCACCCAGAGGCACCAUGGUGUGUGAUGAAGUCUCGACCCUCUAAAACCUCAAGGUGGCAACUAGAGUUCAACACGUGACCCCUUGGAGACACACGCCAACCAUAUCCAACCACAGCACCUGGAAUAUUAAGAUCUGCGGCUCUGUACAUCUAUCUGUAUCUCCUUUCCCUGAAGCUCUGAAGAGUAGGGCAGAAGACAGUGGUUGUGGGCCACCAGGGUCCCCCCUGUAUCUUUCUUGCCUGUACCGGGUAAGUCUAAGUCUUCCCCCAGGGUUUUAAGUAGCUCCAUACUUAUCUUCUUAAAAGUAAGCAUGAUAAUUAAAACCCAAUACAGACUGUCCAAAUGAAUGAGAAGUUUAUACAAAUGAAUAAUAAAUAAAUCAAACUCCCAACAGAUUAAAAAGAACACAGACAAUUCACAAGAGUAAAUAUUUGUAAAUAAAUACUAUUAGUGAAUAAACAAAAAAUAAAUAAAACUUCACUCUCCCUGGCAUCUAGAAAAAGAGCUUACCUCCUUGAUGUUGUAUCUUGUUCUUACUAAUCAUAGUCAGAUCUGCUCUCAGUCUAUAAGCCCUGCCAUUUCUCCCUCUCCCUUCUCUCUCCUCCUGGCUUUUCAGACCCUUGUUGGGUUCUCAUUUCUGAGUUAACCACACCAGUAUCAGGAAAUUGGUGUUUAUUUCUCCUUCUCCCCAUUCCCCCAUGACCAGAACCUCAGAAUAAACCAGGUCCUUGGGCAUCAAGAACGAGGCUGCAGCCCCCUCCCAUGUACCUCUCACACCCGUCUGUCCUGCCAUUCUGAACACUGAGCUCAGCUGGGAGUCAGCAGCCCUGGGGACCCUUCCCAAACAGCAUCUCCGCCACCUCCCUGGGCUGAGGGUGGGGGAGGCAGGCUUUGGUGACCUGGUGUUCCCAAGGACACCUGGAACUUCCCCUCUCCCAGCAGGGCCACUUGAUUGUGGCACCCUGUGCUACUAGCUCCUGGGGCAGAGCAGUGUUGUCCCCUGCUGUGUUCCAGGCACCUGUCAUCUGGACACAGACACACCAGGUAUCAGUUCUCCACAGACAUCUCUUGUUCCUGCACUCUGGAUUCUCUGAGCAAAGAGAGAUGCAGCUGGGUUAAUAGUGUUCCUGUAAGGGGAAUUUCAGACCAGGGAAGCUAAGAGAGCCUUUGUUGGCAACAGGUCCACCUUGGCCCCUGGAGCCCUACCUCCACUAGUUUGUUCUGCAUGCCAGUGUGGCCAGCUCACAAGGCCAUGGCGAACUUGCGGUUUUUCUGUUCCUGCUUGUCCGUCUGAGACAUAUGUGUCCCACGGGAAUGCCUUGACCUUUUCUGGUCUGAUGGACUUAUUGUUAAGGGAGGUUUCAGUACCUGACAAUAAUAGAUGUUGAAACUAAAUAUCUCCCCCCUCCCUCCUGCUUUUGGGUAGUUUUCCACUUCUGCUGCUUGGGGUAUAAAAAAAGGUGUGUUAGCAAUAAAGAUUAUUAUUGACUCCUGGAUGAAGAA